AGAUCACUGAGACAUUGAUAGGAAAAAAACAAGUUACCUUUUUUCUGUGUUGUGUGUGUGUGUGUGUGUGAGAUGUGCAUGUAUGUGCAUGCUUGUGUGUAUGUAGUCAUGUGUGUGCAGUUGUGUGAAGGCCUGGAUUGUCACUGGAUGUCUUCCUCAAUCAUGUUACACCGUAUAUAUCGAUGCAGGAUCUCUCACUUAACUCAGAGCUCACCGUUUAGGCUCGUCCCGCUAGCUGGGUUCUCGGCUCCACCUGCCCUGCACUGGGAUGACAGAGUUGUUGCCGUGGCUGACAGUUUUUUGUGUGAGUGCUGGGAUCCAAAUGCAGCAAGUGCUCUACCCACUGAGCCUCCUCUGUAGCCUUCCACCUUAAUUCUUGAGACUGUCUCUCACAGACAUGAAGCUUACUGAACAGACUGGACCAGCUGGCCAGCAAGCCCCAGGAAUCCUCUUGCCACUGCCUUGGCGCUGGGAUUAGAGAUGGACACUGCUGUGCCUGACUUCUUACGGAGAUACUGAGGAUUUGAACUCAAGCCUUACGUGUUUGCAACAAGCACUUCCCCCCUGUACUGGCUAGUUUUGUGUUAACUUGACACAGCUGGAGUUAUCACAGAGAAAGGAGCUUCAGUUGAGGAAAUGCCUCCAUGAGAUACAACUGUAAGGCAUUUUCUCAAUUAGUGAUCAAGGGGGAAAGGCUCUUGUGGGUGGGACCAUCUCUGGGCUGGUAGUCUUGGGUUCUAUAAGAGAGCAGGCUGAGCAAGCCAGUAAAGAACAUCCCUCCAUGGCCUCUGCAUCAGCUCCUGCUUCCUGACCUGUUUGAGUUCCAGUCCUGACAUCCUUGGUGAUAAACAGCAGUAUGGAAUUGUAAGCUGAAUAAACCCUUUCCUCCCCAA
rnacentral:lncRNA from 1 species